rnacentral:piRNA from 1 species
UGGACGUUAUGCGUCUUGAGGUCGCUCAC